UGGGGAAUAUUGCACAAUGGAGGGAACUCUGAUGCAGCGACGCCGCGUGAACGAAGAAGGCUUUCGAGUCGUAAAGUUCUUUUAUAUGGGAAGAUAAUGACGGUACCAUAAGAAAAAGCUCCGGCUAACUACGUGCCAGCAGCCGCGGUAAUACGUAGGGGGCUAGCGUUGUCCGGAAUCACUGGGCGUAAAGGGUUCGCAGGCGGAAAUGCAAGUCAGGUGUAAAAGGCAGUAGCUUAACUACUGUAAGCAUUUGAAACUGCAUAUCUUGAGAAGAGUAGAGGUAAGUGGAAUUUUUAGUGUAGCGAUGAAAUGCGUAGAUAUUAAAAAGAAUACCGGUGGCGAAGGCGACUUACUGGGCUCAUUCUGACGCUGAGGAACGAAAGCGUGGGUAGCAAACAGG
rnacentral:rRNA from 1 species